rnacentral:siRNA from 1 species
CUUCUCAUUAUACGCAGCCUG